ACUGCUGGCUGUAAAUAUACUGGCAUAAUAAUUGUCCUGUGCUUUGUGCCGCAGAUCAAGUCAAGUUGCUGGACUUGGAAGGCCAGCUCAAGCCCAGCGACGUGCAACCUGCCGAGCUCCAUUUCGACUUCACGGUCGAGUACAUCGUGUGCCUGACGGACUGCGUGCUGGCGUUCCAUAAACAUGGCAUGCAGGGCCGGAGCUUCCUCAACAAUGAGGUCGUCCAGGAGAUCAGCGACUCCACGCGCAUAUUCCGUGUCCUUGGAUCAGACAGCGCAAAGUAUUUUGGGUUCACGGCGGCCGACCCAACCUGCGAGCAGGCAGAAAGGAUUGUGGUGCUGGAGAGCAGAGCAACAGAUACACCCACCGGACCUUCCAACAUCUACAUCCUUGCCGGGCACGAGAACAGCUACUAGGAUAACGGCUCUUUGCAUCUGGUGGAACCUUCAGCAGCAGACGAAGCAGUACAACUGGCAGGAAAGUUCACAACAAUGCGGAAGGUCACUCAACUGCUUCUCAAGAUGCUGCAGUUGCCACUGUUCUUUGUCGCCUAGCCAUGUGUGCAGUGAUAAGAGAGACAUGAAAUGCCUAAGUACGGUGUCUUCACGCUGGUCAAGUUGUGAAUACCAUUGUUCUGUAAAUCUUUCCGACCUUCAGUUGCCGCGUGUUUUGUGAUUCAAGCAGAAGGGACUUUGUCUGUUGAGACAGACCAAUGCAUCGACUUCUGGAGAUGGCGUCGGCAGUCCAAGUCAACAGGUGUUAUUUUGAGUGACAUGUUUCAUGUGGUUUGCCAACUGUGUCCUCUGGUUUAAUUGACAGUUACGGCGAUAGAGUUGGAAGUCAAUUGCAGUGCGGAGAUGUGUCCGCACCUUCUGCUGCGCAUCAAGACGAGAGGUAAAUGGAACAGUGGAGAGGCCUGCAUACGAUUUCGACGUCUGUCCUGGCGACGUUGCACCCGUCCCAUCGUUGCCGAGGGAGGUGUUCUCAAGUGUGCUCGACGUUGCAGCAUCAGCAAGACAACAGUCAUCGGCGUUUUAGUUUUGACGCAAGCUUGUCGUCUGCCGUCCACCAGGUGUCACUGCUACUCAGAUGCUGAGGUGGAAUUCAACUCUUGUUGACUGCAUUCUUUUCACUAUGUAUUUUAAUUUCUCUUUACUCUCUGGCAGUGACAAGGUGUACAGAGGGAGUGAUUGUUCCCAAUUCUUUUCCCUCCCAAUUCUUUCUUUUUCUUUUGUGUUUUUACUUCUUCCUCCACAUUCUCUGCCUGUCCAUGUCUAUGGUAACUCGGUAUUUAUUUGUGUACAUAUAUUGAAGCCUGGACUCUCCCUUUUUUUUUCUGUAUAGACAAAUGAAUUUACUCUUUGCAGAAGUGGUGGACGGAUGUGAGGGAACCCUUCUUUGUAGGGGUGGUGAGUGACCUGGAGGGGUUUCCGGUAGAUUUGCUUUUGUGUUAGGAUUUCUCGCAUCAACGAGCCAUCUAUGCAGCAUUGCAUCAAGAGGGAUGUGCUUCGGCUACUAUUUUCUACGAUUACACUGUAAACAGUUUGGUGUGGUGUGUUUUAGCAAUGGUGUGCGGAGAAUGAUGUUGAAGGACUUGUAACUUUGUGAGUCAUGGGUGUAUGAAAAGUGGAAAGUCGUUACUGCCUAAAAUGGCACUAACGGUAGUUCUAGUAGAUGCUGUGUGAAAUAGUAUGUGUCAGUCAACAUUCUCAAAUAUUACGUCCAAGUUAGCAACCUUUUUAUAUUUUUCAGCAUUGGGUCGUAACUUGGUUCCUUAGGUUUUGCAGAUGGAUUUUUACCUUGGUUUUAGAGAAAUAUAUCGGUCUUCUUUUUAUCUGUAUUGAGAUGUGCCCAUUAACGCCAUGACUGUUGGGACUUGCAUAGAUAACUUGUACAAUGAAUUCGCUAGUAGUCAAUUCUGAAAAUUGACCGCCAUGAGUAGGCAAGGCCAAACUAGAAUUGGGGGGGGAACGGAGGUUUCUUGGUGAGGUGACCAUUUUUGCAUGCAAUAUUUUUCAAGAGAACUCAGUCAAGUUUAAGAAUUUUCAAGUGCAAGAGGAGAACUUACCUUAAAGAACAAGCCUAAUACGUAUAGCAACAUCCGUUGUGUUUCGUACGACUUUACGACUUCAGCUGUGUCUUCUGUUGCAUAAAAGCUAUGGGCACUCUGGUUUUGUUUCCACGUGUUUAAAUUGGAAGCACCUGUAAUUCAUGUGAGCGAACAACAGUAACAUCAAAAAUAUUCAGCAAUCUUGUAGCGGAGUAGCAUUUUCUGAUUUAGAAAUUUUAUUACUGCUUGUCUUAGGCAUUCGUGUUGCCGAUUAAAAGUUGAGGGGCCGAGAGAAAUGACGAAUGCUGUGCACCUUCAGCCUGCCUUGCUUUUCCACAACAGUGGCCGAGCUUUCCCAAGAGCUUUAUUCAGAUGUUAUUAUAACACCGCGUCGUGCUUUACCAAAUUAAUAGGCCAGAUGCGAGAAGCGGUGUACGAAGUGAAGAAGGCAAAUUGAAUGAACCCGUGAAAGCAAGGCUGCAUGCCAGCUUUGAGCAAGUUUUCAAAAUUGUGACGAGUUCUUGCGCGAGUGCACAGUUGCAUCUUAUAACGCUCUUUGCAUCUGUUGUUGUUUUACAUAUUUACUGAAAAUGUCUUUGGAACACUGAAGCCAUGAUGACUUGGUUUUGUAGCAUCGUGGCUAUGAAGCCUAUAAAUACGAGGAUCAAUGCAGUGGUUGCAGAUUUGAACUUAAGCUCUUCAUGAUUUGUGGCACUUUAAAUGUUGCAAUUAGGGGCACUGUGGCGUAAUGAAAUGAACGUGUGCUGCCUUUGUGGGGCACAUUUAAUGUUGAGUGGGGAAGAUGCACCAGUGCAAACUGAGACGGUCAAAUAGUUAGAAAACACAGGGGCAGCAUUUGCCCAGUGUUGUUCUAUGUGAAUUUCUCGGUUUGUUAUAUUACGUCUUCCUUACAUUUGAACCGCUUUUGACGAGAAGGAAGUCUUCGUUUAAUGUUGAGUGCUGCAGUUGUUUGGACAUGACUUCAGACUGAAAUGCGUGCAAUAUAAAAACACUGUGUGAAGAUGAUAACAUGGCAGGCACCUGUGAUGUCUUCAUCUUCAUCUAGUUCCCAGAGAAAUUGAUGUAACGCACGUCAAGAGGCCAAGGGCACCCUGGCCAAGUAUGUCAGGCUCAUGAUUAAGCAAUCCUGAUGCAUUUUCUGACUUCCCUUCGCAAAAGGACUGCUGCUACUGCCCAUUUAAAGAGACUGUAAAAAUCUGUCUGGGAAUUUUACUGUGUAAACCAGGGGCGACCAGACAGCCGUAUUCGGAGUCACAAAAGAGCUCACUGUAUUGCUCAAAGUUGCAGCAAAACCCAAGAGUUUGAGACCUUAACAUCAUAUACCGCAUUUUGACUGCUUGUCCUCUAUGCUAUAAAAUGCUGGUCUAGUUGGCCGCUCCUGAUGUAACCGACUUCUCUCUUCUUUUCAUCAUCGCGCUUCUAAUGAGAAUUUAUUAUUGCAGAUAAGUAUCUGUGCUUUGAAACAAAGUUUCUAUUUGAGUACCCUACAAUGCAGUCCUUAUCACUGCUGGAGAUUAGAUGGAACAUACUGGAAGGGCACUACUGUUUUGGUGCACAUAUUGCAGUGGAUUGGACGAGGCUGGGUUUUGGUGAUGGGUUGUUCAGAUCAGCAUGCAUGGCUCACCAUCAGGUGAUGCCUUCAAAGUACAACUCCACUCUUAAAUGCUCCUGCCGACUGUGUGAAAACUCAGUGGUGUCACGAGGUGAAUUCUGCUGGUUGCUCCGGAGUGUUUCUCGCUCUGUGACGAAAAAUUUGUCUUCUGCCAAUCAGUUCAGAGUAGAUUCGUUCCCCACUGCUCCUUUUGGAUUGACCUGCUCCAUGGGGCAUGCUUUCAACAGUAAGUCUCAUGAUCUACAACCUCGGCAAAUCAGACGCUAGGUGUGUGAGAAGGCACCCACUGUGAUCUGGUCUGCAGCAUUCUGCUUUCGUUCGAGUGAUGUGGAUUUGGUGAAACACGAGCGCAUCCAACGAGUACUUACUCGAGGAUUCAAGCAGCUCCUCCAGAACAACCAGUGGAAUUUGCAGACGGUUUGGCAUAUUCUCAAAACUGCAAGCUAGCCUCUUCGGCUCAGAUCGCCCGUGCCGCUGUUACAAGUCAGUGAAGUAUGGUCACACAGCUGUUCUGCAGGAAGCAUGUCGCCUGUUCCGGCUAUUAACACUGAGUAAUUAUUUUUGUGGCAGCCUGCCAGCCCGAGUGCCAGUUUAAUGUGUCUGCUGCUGGAGUGUGCAAGAAGAAGGUGAACCGAGGGGCUAGAUUUCUUGUUAGUGGCUACCAGCGAAGUCAAUAGGCAAUUAAGCCAAGAAAUGCUUGGCGCGAAAUGUUUUAAAUUUUAAUGUAAGAGUAAUGGGGAACAAGAGAAAUGAAUGUGGACCAUAAGACUAUGCGCAGGUGGAAACUGAGCCCACGUCUUCCGCAUGCCGUGAGUAGCGCUGGCUCACGCCCCGAAGGCUAACCUAGUACACUAAUAUCGAAGACAGUGGACGGGAGAGUGGCCGCUACCGUAGCUCAAUUGGCAGAACAUUGCACGCAAAAUACGGCUGACGUGGUUUUAACUCCCACCUGUGGCAAGUUGUCUUGUCAUCCUCUUUCAUUUUUCAUUCUUAUAUUAUAAUUUUAAAAAAUAGGCAAUAGUCUCUUUGUGCUAUCGCUGGCUUCAUAAUCUGUGGUAGCUGCUGCACUGUGUGCAUCACCUGUCCCGAGUGCCCUGUAGAUGGUUGUCGAUACCCUGAGCGUACAACGCAUUGCUCACAAGAGGCGAUUGGUUGUGGUUUGCUGGAGGAGGAAAGUGUGUUGGAAGCAGCGGGAACUCGCACCGAGACUACUCUUGGACCAGCACCAGAUACAGGUCUGCUGCACAUAAAAGAAAAGCCAAGUGAAAAAGGGUUGCCAAUAAAACAAGGACAGGCAUAUUGCUGCAGCAGCUGUAUUGUAAUAUCCCGAGUCAUCGCCCAUCUCCAAGACUGCCCACUUCCUUUAUCUUGCAAAACGCCCAUACUUCAAAAUACAACCUUGAGGUCAUCCACUUCGCAAAAGUACUGCGGACCACACAGUGGCAUGGCUUUGACUGUGUACACUAAGAGCAUUUUGCAGCAUCUGUUUGACGAAUUUUGUUCUUAAAUUGCAGAUUUACUGCAUAAAAGGAUACAUUCGCAGGCAACUUGUGGCAUAUGCUUUUAUGAAGCACGCUUACUAUUGGUGACUCCUCAGCCUGACUUUUUUUUGUUUUCUGCACUUGCACACAGAAAUUGCCUACCCCCUUAGCCUCCCUCCCCCUUUGUUUAAUAAUGUCUUCUGAUGGAUGUAACAUGACUCGGCACAUUGCAGUAUAUGAGGCUCUUGUUGCAUGAGGCUAGCUUAAUGGGUCUAUCAGAAACGGACAGGCUGCAGGCCUACCUGUAAUGUCAUGGCCUCUGAAGGCCCGUGCCUUUCAUAUGUAGACCAUAGAUGCGAGCUACACACAUUCCCAGUGCACGACCAGGUGUGUACAUCGUCAAACUGCUCCCCAGCUUUAUCGAACAAGUCUCGCAAAGCAGCGUCUCCGUAAGAUUUAGCCAGAAACUUGCAACAGAGGAAAGAUGGGGCAAUUCACAGGGUACAAAAAAGAUUUACAAUCGCGUUGCAAGGAUUCAAACUCAAAGAGAAUUUAGAAUUCCAUUUAAUUAAGCAAAUCUCAAAAUUCUAGUUGGCUUGCUGCAUUCUCAAGCUACUUUUAAGCACCUCAACUAAAACUGAGCUUGUGUUUGGUUUAGCUACUUCAAACUUGUUGCCUUCCCAAACUAAAGCAAUUCUUCAUACAGAAGGCAUGACAAGUCAAAAUGUAUGUAACCACGUUUGAUACCCUGGCUUCUCUGCAUGUUGACAUGUGCCGUAUUGAAGUGGCACCACAGAUUCGGUAGUGCAUUUGGGGUUCUGAUGUAGCCCAGGUUUGCGUUCAUAGGGACACUGUCUUAUCCUGCGUCUCGGGAAGUAUCCAUUUAUUUCACAUUCAGACUCACUUCCAUUUAGUGUCGUGCAGAAGGCAUGCAGGAUAUCAUUUUGCUGUGCAUCACAUCAGAAUUUAUAAUGCCGAUUUUUGACCACCUUUCUGCAAACUUUGAGUAAUUCGAACAAAAAUCCGUGGUUCCUAGGAGUUUGAAUCCAUGCGAGUUGGCUUUUAGCUGAGGCUGCAUUAUAGAAUGUAAUCGAUUCUUCUGAGAUGUUGUGAGAGAGAGGUACAUAAUGUAGAUGUUUAACAAUAUUAUAGGUUGGCAAAUUGGAGGGGAAGCUGCUUUGGACGCUGUACAUACCUCGGGAAAAUUAUUUAAUUGAUAUUGACACCUUGUACAAGCAAAGCUAAGAGAGCAUACAAAUAAAACUUAAGAGAAUAAUCUAUUUUCAGUGGUCAAUAGAAUCUAUUUAGCUAGCUUACACUAGGCACAAGCUGACAGGCUUCAAGCUAUUACUGAAUUAUAUUUGAAUGAAGUGUUAAGCUAGGUCUGAAAUCAAGGCUUGCAAGCAUAGUGUAUUGCAACUAUUUCCGCCACAACUUUGCCAAUACAUACAAGAUACUGGCACCUUCUCUGGCUUUUCAAAAUAUGUGCAAAAUCUUUUCAGACAUUUUUAUUGAGUUCACAACCAAGCCAGUUGUAGGGCAACAGCGCUCCAUGUAAAUGUUUGUGAGCUUUUUUUUCUUUUUUAAUGCUCCAUUCUUAAUCACUGUUAUUAUUUUGUAGGCUUCUUCCCCCUCAAGUUUAUUUUUGUUCUCAAAUGCUUUGAAAUUUAUGGAGAACAGUAAGUUGGGGCUAGUUGUAUUUGUCAAUAUUCUCACUGCAUUGAGUGCAGAACAGUGAACAGAGUACUUGUAAAUAAAUGAACAAAUAUUUUCUAGUGUAGUUUAGCAUGGUGGCAAGUCUCGUGGGGCAGCAAUAGCCACAGCCAUAGCAGCCUGUGUCGUAUGUAACUGUCGUAACAGUUUUGUAUGGACAUCCAUAAUGUCUCUGUGGACAAGGCGAGUUGUGCAAAUUGUGCUCCUACAAAUUGUGCACUCGUUUUAUGUGACUGUACACUGCGCACAGAUCUGCAGAUUCUUUAGUUCCCUCUGCCAUUUCAUCACAGACACUCGUAAAGCUCCUAAUUAUGCUGUGUCAUCGUAGUACCAUUUAUGACUGCUGCUGUUAUUUGGAACAUGCACUUUAUAUAGUGCAUUUGAAGUUGUACAGACACUGACUGACACUAUUGGUUUAGUAUCUUCGCCUCAAAAUUUACAUCGAAUUAAGGGAAAACUACAGUGGAAUCUGGUUCAUACGAUCUUCACGGGAACCAGAAAAUAAAACGUAUCAUCCAGAAAUCAUACCAACCGAAUACAUUGCUCCUCUGUCCCGUAUGACAAUGUAUUCGGUUUAAAAAGAGAAAAAAAAUUUAUUAUGCAGAAUUGUAUCGAGAUUACACUGUAUACUAAAAAAGACAGAAGACAUGGAUUUGACAGUACUUCUAGCACUAGCCUUUUUUUUUCUUUCAUUAGUUUAAUCGCACUUGCCUUCUUACUCACUCAUUCUAGGCAUUAAUAACUGUCACCCUGUAGCAAGUUCUGUGCAGUUUAUGAACAAGGAAUUCGGGCACUGAUCAAGCUGUGCUCACUUGCAGUUCUGAAAAAAAAAAUUGUUUAAACUCAUCCAAUGUCUAGCGAUAGCUGUUAUGACGGUGUACAUAGUGUAAUAAACUGCCCGCCUUUUAGGAUAAAACACAAUCCUGGUUGUUCCUUGCCACGCCCACAGUAUGGAAUGGCAUACCCGUUACUGCAAGCAUACAAGUGCAGGUGUGUUUUUCUGAGCAAAUGUGUUUUCGCUGUGUCAAAAGAGCUUCAGUUACCUUGGGCGAACUGCACUAAGCAGGUCGGAUGUGACGUGCGUUGGCUGUGCCAUGACAUUGUAACAAACAAACAAAAACGACAAAGGCAAACCUUGUUGUAUGGUUUGAGGUAGUUGGGUUGUUGAUCUUUGUUAGACUUGCCUCGUAGAAAGGAAUGUUAAGUGUUACAGCUUGGGAAAUGAGAAAGUAAAUGUUAAGCAUCGGCUGACUUGAGUUGGUUUUAGCACUGUAUAGGCGUGUUCGUUUUAACAUCUGUGAAAGUCGCUUGAGUAAUUAAUGGUAGGCAUCGUGAGUAAGCCAGAGAGCACGUCUACUGCACCUACCUUUUUUGCAGUACACCCAUGCAAACUAUAACGACUGAAAAGGAUUCUUGUUUUUGGAGUUGAUUGGACGGUACGCUCACUGUCAUCAGUGACUUGUCCGUGCAUCUUUAUGCAAUUUUAGCAUUGUGUGGUGUCAGUGCUUUCUGAACCAGUCUCUCCCUACACAUAGGGACACCUUCAUUUCUCGAGGCUCACGGACUUAUGUGCAUGCCUCCCAUAAGCUGCACUAUCAUGGUUUGGAUUUGGGAUAUAGGAAGAGUUUCAUACUCGAAAUAGCUCCGAGUGCAAAAUUCUUGCAUACUUUCAGUAUUUACCCCGCCUAAGUUUCUAAGCUUUUGCUUGUUGUCCUAUCUUGAGAAACUUUUGUAGAUCAUCAUGACAUUCUGCACUUGCUGUGCAACCAUAUGUGAUACAAAUUGGACCAAAAUUCUGCUCACCCUUUGGCUGAUGCCGAUGUACAUCUCUUUUUGUAAAUUUGGAGUUUCAAUUGUGUUUUUGCGGUGUAAGUCGCCAUAUUUUUUUUAAAGCAGCACUUUAUGUGUCCCUAUCGAAAAUUGACUGUUGGAUUGCCAUUCUAAAUGCAUCCUUGUAUUGCUAAAGUGAUUGCUAAGUUGAAACAGUCAAACAGGCCAGCAGAGAGAUUUGCGGUUUAGUGUGCUUGUGGCAUAUGUUCAUGUUGCGAUGCCUCUGUAGUUAUACUCUCGGUAUUCGAAUCUUUGUUUUUGUGUGUGUAUGCACAGUACUGCUUGUAAGGGUUUUGACAAUUCUGAAACUUCCUAUAAGCUUCCUUGAAGGUUGCUGUGCAUGAGUUUGUAUUAUAUAUGUAUGUAUGUAUACGAGUGUGUACACAAUUUGCUAGCUGUGAUGUUAGAAUGUCCACAUUCAUGUUCACGCUUUUAUUUUUGUAGAGUCCACCUGGCUUUUUUUUUUUUUUGAUGCCCCACAGAGCAGUGGUGUGAGAAGUAUAAGAGUGGUGUAAUAAAUGAGAGUUGAAUGCAAGCCUAAGGUCAA